UAGAAUAUAGCAAUAAAUCUUAUUAAGAUAUUCACAUCUUUUAGCAAAGUGUAUUAAUAAUUUUUUUUUACUACGUUGUAUAACAUAUUUUUUAUAAUUUGCUGUAUUGAGUUUGAUAUUUUUAUAAAUGCAAGAAUUUCUCUUCUGUUUUCACUUACUUCUUUUUAUAUCAGGCUCACUAGUCUGUAAUAAAAAGCAAUGAAUAUGGAUGAUGAAGAAUUAAAUAAACUUGCUGUUGAAGCUUUACUUGAAGAAGCAAAACUUGGUGCACAAAGAGCUGAAAUAAUGGGUCCUACUGGAUGGGUAAAGCCUAGAGAGACUGUCAAUAAAAGAUUUCUUCAUUCUACAUUACGUAAUGUUGUUAUUUCAAAUAAGCACAAAACUGGAAAGAAAGACAAAAUAUUGAAAACCCAAAUAUCUAAAGAAGAAAAAAAUAUAAAGAAAUAAUAACUGUGUGCUAUAUUGAUA